rnacentral:rRNA from 1 species
AAGACCUUGCGCUUUUGGAGCGGCCGAUGCCUGAUUAGCUAGUUGGUGGGGUAAUGGCCUACCAAAGCUUCGAUCAGUAGCUGGUCUGAGAGGACGGCCAGCCACACUGGGACUGAGACACGGCCCAGACUCCUACGGGAGGCAGCAGUGGGGAAUUUUGGACAAUGGGCGCAAGCCUGAUCCAGCCAUGCCGCGUGAGUGAAGAAGGCCUUCGGGUUGUAAAGCUCUUUCAGCCGGGAAGAAAAGGUUGCGAUUAAUAAUCGCAAUUUAUGACGGUACCGGAAGAAGAAGCACCGGCUAACUACGUGCCAGCAGCCGCGGUAAUACGUAGGGUGCGAGCGUUAAUCGGAAUUACUGGGCGUAAAGGGUGCGCAGGCGGUUUUGUAAGUCAGAUGUGAAAGCCCCGGGCUCAACCUGGGAACU